UUUUUUUUUAACGUCUGAAUUUUUAAUUAGUUGAUUAUUUCAUAGGCCCAAUAUGUUUUAUUUAUUGUAGCCCAUAUAUUUUCAAGGUCAGUUGACACAGUCGCAACGGAAAAAAAGAUCUCAAGCGUUGAUUUUGAGACUAAUCGACGGUUGUUUUAGUUUUGAAAGGUGAAAGCAAAUCAAUGAUCUAUAUUUAUCGAGCGUUGGUGCUCAAACUUAUAGACGGUUAUCUUAGUUUUGAAAGAUGACAGCAAACCUAUGGUCUAUAUAUAGUUGUUAAAUCAUUAUUCAUGCGGAUAAGAAAAUCUUAAAAUUCCUUUUAAUCAUAGUUUCUUCCUAAUUUUC
rnacentral:sRNA from 1 species